UCUCCGUAGGUGAACCUGCGGAGGGAUCAUUACAGAGUUCGUGCCCUCACGGGUAGAUCUCCCACCCUGUGUUAUUAUACCUUUGUUGCUUUGGCGGGCCGCCCUCGGCUACCGGCCCCGGCUGGUACGCGCCCGCCAGAGGACCCCAAACUCUGAAUGUUAGUGUCGUCUGAGUACUAUACAACAGUUAAAACUUUCAACAACGGAUCUCUUGGUUCUG
rnacentral:misc_RNA from 1 species